rnacentral:rRNA from 1 species
AUUGAACGCUGGCGGCAUGCCUUACACAUGCAAGUCGAACGGCAGCACGGGAGCAAUCCUGGUGGCGAGUGGCGAACGGGUGAGUAAAGUAUCGUAACGUGCCCAGUCGUGGGGGAUAACGAAGCGAAAGUUACGCUAAUACCGCAUACGAUCUAUGGAUGAAAGCGGGGGAUCGCAAGACCUCGCGCGAUUGGAGCGGCCGAUAUCAGAUUCGGUAGUUGGUGGGGUAACGGCGCACCAAGCCGACGAUCAGUAGCUGGUCUGAGAGGACGAACAGCCACACUGGGACUGAGACACGGCCCAGACUCCUACGGGAGGCAGCAGUGGGGAAUUUUGGACAAUGGGCAAAAGCCUGAUCCAGCCAUGCCGCGUGCAGGAUGAAGGCCUUCGGGUUGUAAACUGCUUUUGUACGGAACGAAAAGGUUUGGGCUAAUAAGCUGAGCUCAUGACGGUACCGUAAGAAUAAGCACCGGCUAACUACGUGCCAGCAGCCGCGGUAAGAC